AUUCUACUGGUUAUGAGUGAGUCCUUGAUCCACUGAGAUCCAAGAGGAUGAGACAAAGUCCCCAUAUCUCAAUGAAAGAAGUGUCGAGGUCACAUUGAAGAAGACCAUGUGGGAUGGGAGAGAGACAUAGUGGUCACAUUUGAGAAAGGCCAUCUGACAGAUGGGAGAAGCUGAAAGGGCUGCAGACAGCAGAAGCCUCCCCUGGACCUGCAAAUAGACCAGUGCAGGCAUUGAACAUCUGGGGCAAGACUAGAGUCUCCCAGCAGAAUGUAUGACCUGAAACUGGUCCCGAGGAAACAUCAGAUGGACCACGUUGAGCAUCACACUGCAGAAUGUAGGGCUGCAUUCUUCCAAACUGUUGGGAUGGUGAAAGUCAGGGAAAGACUGAGGAAUUGCUCCAAACUGGGGCAGACUGCAAAGAUGUGACAAUUAAAUGCAACGUGUAACUCGGGG